rnacentral:rRNA from 1 species
GAUGAACGCUGGCGGCGUGCCUAAUACAUGCAAGUCGAGCGAACAGACGAGGAGCUUGCUCCUCUGACGUUAGCGGCGGACGGGUGAGUAACACGUGGAUAACCUACCUAUAAGACUGGGAUAACUUCGGGAAACCGGAGCUAAUACCGGAUAAUAUAUUGAACCGCAUGGUUCAAUAGUGAAAGACGGUUUUGCUGUCACUUAUAGAUGGAUCCGCGCCGCAUUAGCUAGUUGGUAAGGUAACGGCUUACCAAGGCAACGAUGCGUAGCCGACCUGAGAGGGUGAUCGGCCACACUGGAACUGAGACACGGUCCAGACUCCUACGGGAGGCAGCAGUAGGGAAUCUUCCGCAAUGGGCGCAAGCUUGACGGAGCCACGCCGCGUGAGUGAUGAGGGUCUUCGGAUCGUAAAACUCUGUUAUUAGGGAAGAACAAAUGUGUAAGUAACUAUGCACGUCUUGACGGUACCUAAUCAGAAAGCCACGGCUAACUACGUG